GAUGAACGCUGGCGGCGUGCCUAAUACAUGCAAGUCGAGCGAACGGACGAGAAGCUUGCUUCUCUGAUGUUAGCGGCGGACGGGUGAGUAACACGUGGAUAACCUACCUAUAAGACUGGGAUAACUUCGGGAAACCGGAGCUAAUACCGGAUAAUAUUUUGAACCGCAUGGUUCAAAAGUGAAAGACGGUCUUGCUGUCACUUAUAGAUGGAUCCGCGCUGCAUUAGCUAGUUGGUAAGGUAACGGCUUACCAAGGCAACGAUGCAUAGCCGACCUGAGAGGGUGAUCGGCCACACUGGAACUGAGACACGGUCCAGACUCCGACGGGAGGCAGCAGGAGGGAAUCUUCCGCAAUGGGCGAAAGCCUGACGGAGCAACGCCGCGUGAGUGAUGAAGGUCUUCGGAUCGUAAAACUCUGUUAUUAGGGAAGAACAUAUGUGUAAGUAACUGUGCACAUCUUGACGGUACCUAAGCAGAAAGCCACGGCUAACUACGUG
rnacentral:rRNA from 1 species